rnacentral:rRNA from 1 species
GAUGAACGCUGGCGGCGUGCCUAAUACAUGCAAGUCGAGCGAACAGACGAGGAGCUUGCUCCUCUGACGUUAGCGGCGGACGGGUGAGUAACACGUGGAUAACCUACCUAUAAGACUGGGAUAACUUCGGGAAACCGGAGCUUAUACCGGAUAAUAUAUUGAACCGCAUGGUUCAAUAGUGAAAGACGGUUUUGCUGUCACUUAUAGAUGGAUCCGCGCCGCAUUAGCUAGUUGGUAAGGUAACGGCUUACCAAGGCAACGAUGCGUAGCCGACCUGAGAGGGUGAUCGGCCACACUGGAGCGGAGACGCGGUCCAGACUCCUACGGGAGGCAGCAGUAGGGAAUCUUCCGCAAUGGGCGAAAGCCUGACGGAGCAACGCCGCGUGAGUGAUGAAGGUCUUCGGAUCGUAAAACUCUGUUAUUAGGGAAGAACAAAUGUGUAAGUAACUAUGCACGUCUUGACGGUACCUAAUCAGAAAGCCACGGCUAACUACGUG